rnacentral:lncRNA from 1 species
GCAUGGAGCCGGGUCAGCACUGGUGCUGACAACGCACGAGAGAUUGGACUCAGCUGCUGUAGUGUGUGUGUGUGGUGAGCAUGGCCCUGGGAUUGUUUGUGGUCUCCGAGAUGGACAUGUCCUCUUCCUAAUCCCCCUGUGUAGAAAGCAUGCUGUCUUUGCUGAGUGCUUGGGCUUUUGAUCCUGUGUGCGAUUACUACUUGAAAUAUGAGAUGGGACACUAUAGAUACCAUAGAUCUUAGGAGAAACAAUGUUAGGGAAAGAACAUUUAACCUGGAGGAGUUGGAGAGGUUUGCUCAACUGAGAGAUGCGGCCUUCAUGGCAGUUUGCAGGUGAGGCUUCAGCAGGUAUGUGAUCUUGCUGCUAACGGAAUAGGGCAGGGCCCACAGGGUUCCGUCCAUGUCAGAGGUGCGGUGAGCUUAUCAGUGUGUGAUGCUACAGGGAGAGACCCAGCCUCUGGCCUGAGCCUGAGGAGAAGCCACUCACCAGCAUUCCAGUUCCAAGAUGCUCCUGGUGCUAGUUAAAAUGCAGAUUAGACUUGGGAGGGAAGAACAAGGGCUGAAGCCUUUACUCACCUUGGGGAAACUCGUUCUAGCACAGCACCCAGUGAGACUGACAAGGCUUGCACUAGAGACAGGCUGCUGGGAGCCCUGAGAGCUUCCUCCCCACUGUGUGCAUGGCCUGUCCCCUUCUGUCUGUAUCUGACCUCAAUGUCAGUUGAUAACAUUAUUAAGUGCUGUCUGUGCCCUCAAGUAUGAGCUGAAUGGUCGGAAAUGCCACAGAGUCUAUAUAUUUUAAAUCACACAUGUGGUCCCCAAACAUUGAAUGUUGGAGAACUGUCUUCAGAAAGUUGGUCUAUUUAAGGCUACUGGGGAAAAGGGCGGGUCUCCUUUGCUAUCUGUCCACAGCCCCUUUGCUUCAGCAAAGAACAGUGUGCAUGCAUGCAGUCUGUGUUUGAGAGCCAUGCGAGCCUUCACCUCUGUGAGGGCCAGAUGGCUGUUUGUCUACAGUUUCCUGAAGGCCUCAGCAGAAAGGGAUUCCUUUUUCCUAGUAAGUGCUGCUGGCUGAGAGGAGGUCAGAAGUAUUUUAAUGCCAUCUGUUUCAUGGCUAAACACGCAGACUCCUUGCAUUUUAAAAUUCUGUGUCCUUUACUUUUUGGAGCUAUACUAGCUUGCUUGGGUGUGUAACUUGCCAGAGUUGACUUUUCUAGUGCUUUAUGUAAACUCUGCUGUUGGCACUUGCAGCUGAAGCAGCUGAAAGAGGGGCUGCUCACUGUUGCAGCACUGGGAUCCCUGGCAGCUGCAGCGGCAAUGCUUAAGGAGCUUUUGCAACUUUGACUUCAGUAGCAGCUUGGGAUGAUAAAAUAUGGUGAGUGUCUUGUCUGCUGUGGAGGGCCUGACAAUCUGCCAGGUGGGAAGUCUUGUUAGAAACCAGAAACUCAGUGUGGUGGUUAUCCCACCUUUUCUUUCUUUCUCCUUUGGUCUAUAAUGAUAUUGACAUAGCUAUUCAGAGUAAAAUCUAUGUAUACAAAAAAAUUCUAAGUAUGAGGUUUUAAAUGUUCUUGAACUUCAGAAAAACUUGAUUGGAUACAAUUGUUUAUAAUUAACAAGUCAUCUUAUUUAUAAAUUUUCCAAUAUAAUAUAAAUCUAUUUUGUGGAA